UUGAAAGCUGGUUUGAAGUUCUAGUGGUCUUCAGCACCCCCGGAAAACAACUCAAAUAUGUGCUAGAGUAAAUGCGAAGGCCAAGGAACUAUCUAGGAACAAGUGCACCAAGAACUUCACCUCCAGAACGAGAUAAUACCUAUGCCAACCCAGGCAAAACGAGUGAUGGCCCACUCCGAGCCGUCUCUCGUCUUGAAGGAGACCGCACAGUCAAUUUGAACUGCACCUGGGCUGGCAAUACGAAGCAUGUUAGGCCAGCUACAACCCAACAAUAGGGGCCCGGGGGAGCAGCCCAAACCGGCAUUGAUUCCGGAAAAGGUCAAUGUUGUUGAAGGGGGCUACCUUGCACCAUUGGGCAGCGGUAAAAAAGGCGGACGUCACAGUAGCAGUCUCCAACCUUGCAAACAUCCUGACCGAGAAAAUACAGGAUUCCAUUCAAUCAGUGAGACGCAAGGAGUCAUAUCAAAAGAUUGAAUGAGCGUCUUGCUGCAGCGCUCAGCUGUAGGACUCUGCAUGGAUAAAUUGUUAACAAAAUGCAAUUGCAUCGCAUUUCAUUAUUUGAACUUGUUCACAGAGGAUUUUCUAAUAUCAAGCGACCAGCGACAACGAACCAGCUGCUACUAAGGAUUUAACUGGUCCUAGUUGUAGCUAUGAUCUAACUUGCCCUAGUUAGAUCCCAGUUGCAGCUGGUCCCAUGUUAGAUCCCAGUUGCAGCUGGUCCCAGUUAGAUCCCAGAUGGUCCAGCUGGUCCAACUAGGAAUUGUUCCUUUAAUCAGUUGAACUGGGACCAGUUGGAUACCAUUUAGGAAAUUUUCACCUGCGCUUGCUCGGAAAGGUUCCCAAUGAAUGUCGCAGCUACUCAUGAUGCAACUAAAUGUAUGCCAAUUUCGCAUGUUACGUGAGGUCGUAUUCUAGGUUCGUACAAGUAUUGUUUUCAUUUUGAUCUCCAGAUCGAUAAGUAAGCGGUGAGCUAUCCUGUGUAUCAAGUUCAAACUAUGUAUUUUUGACCCACCCGAUUGUUUAAAAACCUGGUGUCUAUUGACUAUGGGUGUAUGAGUCAUGCACCUUCGUAGCAAAACACCAGGGACUUUCACCAUACCAUUCGUAACAGCACGAUGUUCCCAACUGGAAUUGCCUCCUGAUGUUCAGGUGGUGGAGUCGCUGAUGAUCAAUUUAUAAACAAUGUGGAUUUUUUGUGACAAAUUUAGCAUGGGGACCUGUCAUGACAAACGGGGCGUACAUCGCAACACUGGGUAACUUGUCAGCCAUCUGAGAAGCUACCCUGAUUGUAUUAACAUCUAUAGGUGGUAAUCCAUUGCCAAGGCAGAAGGAAGUUGAGGUGUCUCGUGAAGCGACCGAACACAGGCCAAGAAGGCGGCAGAGAAAUUCAAAACAAAUUUGUGUCCAUCAGUGUACCAUCCCUGCAUCACGAACCUGCAGUAUUUCAGCUUGUGCAGCACUUGUAACUAUGUAAGGCUGAAUCUUAAAUUUACAAUAAAGGACAAA